rnacentral:rRNA from 1 species
UACGUAGGGCGCAAGCGUUGUCCGGAAUUAUUGGGCGUAAAGAGCUCGUAGGCGGUUUGUCGCGUCUGCUGUGAAAACCUAAGGCUCAACCUUGGGCUUGCAGUGGGUACGGGCAGACUAGAGUGCGGUAGGGGGUGACUGGAAUUCCUGGUGUAGCGGUGGAAUGCGCAGAUAUCAGGAGGAACACCGAUGGCGAAGGCAGGUCUCUGGGCCACUACUGACGCUGAG